rnacentral:misc_RNA from 1 species
UAAUGUGAGCCUUUUCGUCUCGGGCACAAACAGAAUCACAACCCCACCCGCUGCGACACCCACACCUCCAAGGAUCAAGAAAGUUGGACCUGUUCCCACAGCACUGGCAAGUGAAAGGAAAGUUUGGGCCACGAUCAAAUUAGAAACCCAAUUCACAGUAGCUGCCAUUCCACUACAUAUCCCUCGAUAAGCCUCAGGGUAAACCUCUGAGUUCACAGUCCAUGGAACUGG